rnacentral:tRNA from 1 species
UUGCGUGGGGCAGAACUUGAGGCGGAGCUCAAGUCUGUGAGUUGGGGGGGUAGCAAAGCAUU